UACGAAGGUUGCUAGCGUUGUUCGGAAUCACUGGGCUUAAAGCGCAUGUAGGCGGCCCUUCAAGUGCCUUGUGAAAUCCCUCGGCUCAACCGGGGAAUUGCUUGGCAUACUGUCGGGCUUGAGGCAGGUAGAGGCAUGUGGAACUCUUGGUGGAGCGGUGGAAUGCGUAGAUAUCAAGAGGAACGCCGGAGGCGAAAGCGACGUGCUGGGCCUGUCCUGACGCUGAGAUGCGAAAGCCAGGGGAG
rnacentral:rRNA from 1 species